UCCUGGAUAGCUCAAUGGUAGAGCAACCGGCUGUUAACCGGUAGGUUGUCGGUUCGAGCCCGACUCCAGGAGCCA
rnacentral:tRNA from 1 species